UCGUAACAAGGUCUCCGUUGGUGAACCAGCGGAGGGAUCAUUACGAAAAGGAGUUCUCGGACUCUUAAACCCUUUGUGAACCUUACCUAUCGUCAGUUGCUUCGGCGGGAGGCCCCUGGGAGGGGCCCCGGGGCCCGGCCUGAGCCGGGCUCCCGCCGGAGGAGCGCAAACCAAACUCUUGCUGUACCUCAGUGGAACAUCCGAGUUAAAACAAAAAAACAAGUUAAAACUUUCAACAACGGAUCUCUUGGUUCUGGCAUCGAUGAAGAACGCAGCGAAAUGCGAUAAGUAAUGUGAAUUGCAGAAUUCAGUGAAUCAUCGAAUCUUUGAACGCACAUUGCGCCCGCCAGUAUUCUGGCGGGCAUGCCUGUUCGAGCGUCAUUUCAACCACUCAGGCCCUGGUGCCUGGCGUCGGGGUUUCUUAUAGAUCCCCUAGAACCAGUGGCGGACCCGCCGCGGCUCCGAGCGUAGUAGUAAAAUAUCUCGCUAUGGAGGCCCGUGGGGGGAUUACCGGCCGUAAAACCCCUUCUUUACUGAAGAACUUCUCAAGGUGACCUCGGAUCAGGUAG
rnacentral:rRNA from 1 species